AUGCCUGUACCAUAACCGACACAGGUGGGUAGGUAGAGUAUACUAAGGGGCGCGAGAUAACUCUCUCUAAGGAACUCGGCAAAAUGACUCCGUAACUUCGGGAGAAGGAGUGCCUUAUUUAUAAGGUUGCAAUAACAAGAUCCAAGCAACUGUUUAUCAAAAACACAGGUCUCCGCUAAGUCGUAAGACGAUGUAUGGGGGCUGACGCCUGCCCAGUGCCAGAAGGUUAAAGAAGUUGGUUAGUGUAUGCGAAGCUGAUGACUGAAGCCCUGGUGAACGGCGGCCGUAACUAUAACGGUCCUAAGGUAGCGAAAUUCCUUGUCGGGUAAGUUCCGACCCGCACGAAAGGCGUAAUGAUUUGGAUACUGUCUCGGAGAGAGGCUCGGUGAAAUAGACUUGUCUGUGAAGAUGCGGACUACCUGCACCAGGACAGAAAGACCCUAUGAAGCUUUACUGUAACUUGAAAUUGGAAUUGGACUUUGCUUGCGCAGUAUAGGUGGGAAGCGUUGAAGAUAUUCUUGCGGGAGUAUUGGAGCUAUCAGUGAGAUACCACUCUUGUAAUGUUAGAUUUCUAACUUUGAACCAUAAUCUGGUCAAAGAACAGUUUCAGGUGGGCAGUUUGACUGGGGCGGUCGCCUCCCAAAUGGUAACGGAGGCGUACAAAGGUUUCCUCUGAACGGAUAGAAAUCGUAUCUAGAGUGUAAAGGCAUAAGGAAGCUUGACUGUGAGACCUACAAGUCGAGCAGGGACGAAAGUCGGUCUUAGUGAUCUGACGGUACUGAGUGGAAAGGCCGUCACUCAACGGAUAAAAGUUACUCUAAGGAUAACAGGCUGAUCUCCCCCAAGAGUUCACAUCGACGGGGAGGUUUGGCACCUCGAUGUCGGCUCAUCGCAUCCUGGGGCGGUAGUACGUCCCAAGGGUUGGGCUGUUCGCCCAUGAAAGCGGUACGCGAGCUGGGUUCAGAACGUCGUGAGACAGUUCGGUCCAUAUCCGGUGUAGGCGCUAGAAUAUUGAGAGGAGCCUUCUUUAGUACGAGAGGACCGAGAAGGACACACCGCUGGUGUACCAGUUAUCGUGCCAACGGUAAACGCUGGGUAGCUAUGUGUGGAGUGGAUAACCGCUGAAAGCAUCUAAGUGGGAAGCCCACCUCAAGAUGAGUAUUCCCACAGGGUUAACCUGGUUAGGUCACGGGAAGACUACCCGUUGAUAGGCUCUAGAUGGAAGUGCAGUAAUGUAUGAAGUCGAGGAGUACUAAUAGACCGAGGGCUUGAC
rnacentral:rRNA from 1 species